UACGGAGGAUCCAAGCGUUAUCCGGAAUCAUUGGGUUUAAAGGGUCCGUAGGCGGUUUAAUAAGUCAGUGGUGAAAGCCCAUCGCUCAACGGUGGAACGGCCAUUGACACUGUUAAACUUGAAUUAUUAGGAAGUAACUAGAAUAUGUAGUGUAGCGGUGAAAUGCUUAGAGAUUACAUGGAAUACCAAUUGCGAAGGCAGGUUACUACUAAUGGAUUGACGCUGAUGGACGAAAGCGUGGGUAGCGAACAGG
rnacentral:rRNA from 1 species